ACCCUAUCAGAUAAGAAGUGGGUUGCAGGUUAUUUUCUCUUCCUCGAUCAGGGAUUUACGAUCUCGUUCUCCAACUCGCACCCAGUCGCUAUAACCAUACAGGUUUUUUUCGUCUGUGGGCUACGCUUGCUUGUUCUUAAUUUGAUUCUGCAGUUCAAGGUGUGGGUGAGAUGUACAACGGAAUUGGGCUGCAAACCCCAAGGGGGUCGGGAACCAAUGGAUACAUACAAACCAAUAAGUUCUUUGUUAAACCAAAGAGUGGAAAGGUUGCCUAUGAUAGUGGCAAGGGAUUUGAGGGUGACCAGGGUACUGCUGGGGUAACAAAGAAGCCCAACAGAGAUAUAUUGGAACAUGACAGGAAACGUCAGAUUCAGCUCAAGCUCGUGGUGCUUGAAGAUAAGCUCGUUGAUCAGGGAUACACUGAUGCUGAAAUCUCAGAGAAACUUGAGGAAGCCAGAAAAACUUUGGAAGCUGCUGCAGCGUCUGAGGCUGGUGGUGGUGCCUCUGCCAUAGUUGCCUCUGACAAGAAGGUUUCGAAUACACAGACUCAUCAAAUUGCUGCUAGAAAAGAGAAGCAGAUGGAAACCUUGAGAGCUGCUCUUGGUAUAAGCAUGCCGGAAGUUGAUGUACAAAAACAGGACAAAGUCCUUGAUUCAGGCACUGAAGAGGUGGAUGAUGAUAAACCAAGAAACACCCAAAAAGAUGAUGAAAAUGAUGAAAGCAUGCACUAUGAAAAAGAUGAAGCUUUCCAAGAUAGGGAGAUCAUGAGGGAAAGACAAACAACCAAACGCAAGCAGCAAGACAGCAAGAAGAGAAGAGAUGGAGAUGAUCCUUCUGAUACAGAUAGUGGUGGAAAGCAUGGAAAGGCUAUUAAGAAAAGUUAUAUUAGGAGUGGCUCAGUUGAUGAUUCUGAUGUUGACACUGAGAAGAAUAAAAAAACUUUGAAGUCUGAGAAAAACAGAAGACAUAAGAGUGGUGCCACUGAUGAUUCUGAUUUUGACACUGACAGUGGUGGAAAACAGAAAAAAGGAAUUAAGAAGUCUUUCAAGAGUAAUUCAGUUGAUUCUGAUUUUGACACUGAGAAGAAGCAAAAAACUUCAAAAUUUAAGAAAAGCAAAAGGCAUGACAGUGAUGAUUCAGGUUCUGAUGAUGAUUUUGAUGUGCGGAGUUCCAAAAAGGAAGCUGAGAAGCAUGUCAAAGCUCAUAAAAGGCAUGAUUCAGAUGAUUCAUAUUCUGAUGAUGGUGUACCUAUCAGUAAAACUCAAAAAGGGAAGCAGCAUAUGAAAGCAAGCAGACGGCAUGAUUCUGAUGAUGAAUAUGAUACUGAUAGUGAGAAGGAAAAGAGAAGAAACCAAGUGGAAAAACAGAGGAAUCGGCUGAGUGGGAGCUGCAGCAGAACAGAGAGAAACAGUACUUAUAAGGAGGAUCACAAGAAGACUGACAAAAGACAUGGGAGUGGUGGAAGGUAUGUUGCUUAUAGUGAUUCAGAUUCUGAUAGAGCUAAAAGACACCAAAAGGAAAACAUUGAGACCAAUGAAAGGCAUGGGAGUGGAGGAAGGUAUGUUGCUUAUAGUGAUUCUGGCUCUGACAAAGCUAAAAAACACACAAAGGAAAGCAUUGAGCAAAAUAGGAAAAAUAGAAAGCAUGGUGUUGGCAGGGAUGAUUCUAGUGAAAAAAGAAUAGGGAAGAGUAGAAGGCAUGACAGUGAUGAGGACAACUCUGAUCGUGAUGACAGGUAUGAUGGGAAAAUUACUAAGCGCAAAGCAACAGAAAAGGACCCAGAGUCUUCCACUGAUGAUAGUGAUGACAGUAUCAGUGAUGAUUCUAAGGAGGAAAGCAGCGACAGUGAUUCAGGCAGCAGUAGUAGUGAUUACAAACAUGAGAGAAAAGAUACGAAUAAGUCCAUGAGGAAAAGCAAAAGUGGUGAUGGAGCUGAUGUGAACGCCAAAGGUGAGCGCGGUGCGUAUGGAAGUGAUCAUAGAAGAAAGGAAAGAAGUGAUCUCUACAAUGAUGAUGAUGGUGGAUUGGGCGCAUUGAAGAACUUAGAGAACAAACUGUACCAGUCGAGGGGAAAUAUUAUGCAUGGAUCUGGCUAUGGAAAUCAAGAAAUAACAAAAGGUAAAAGAAAGCUUGAAGAUGGACAGGAUGAGCAGCCAGAGUCAAAGUCUAGAAAUCGAAAUUCAGGGAAAGAGGUGAUGCAGAAGAGGGAACAUCGGAAGGAAACUAAAGUUGAAUUUGAGUCAAAUAGUAGACCAAACAAGAGUAAGGAUGAUCAGAAGAGAGAAGAUUAUUCAAGAUUGACUCAAUCUGGAGGAGGGAAUUAUCAGGAUGAUGUAAAAGAUGGAGGCAGAAUUCGAGGUAAAGAUGAUGAGCCAUGGCAUGGAAGUAGGAGGAAUGACGGGGAUCAUGAAAACCAUGGGGGAAAACGAAAGCAUGGUAGGGAUGAAGAGGAGGAUAGAAGGAGAACACACAACAGAGAUGAAGAAAAGAGACUUGAGUAUAGAAGGCAUGAAAAAGAUGAGGAACAGAGGCAGCAUGCAGGUAGAAGGCAUGAAAAAGAUGAGGAAGAGAGGCAGCAUGCAGGUAGAAGGCACCGAAGUGAGGAGGAAGAAAGGCAGGCAAGCAGAAGGAAUGAAAGUGAUGAACGAAUGUAUUCAUCAAAGAGAGGUAGGGAUGAUGAUUCUCGAUCCAGUAAGAGAAGAAGGUAUGAGAGUGACAAUAGCGAUGACGAUUUGGCAAGGCGUCGAAAAUGAAACUGCUUGAUCUUCAAUCUGGAGGUAUCCAUGGGAAGCAGCGUUCACUUUUUAUUGUAGUGGGCUUAAGUGGUUAACAUUGCUGGUGGAAUUUUUAUACCAUGCAUUCCAUCAAACAAUACUUUCUUCGCCUUGUGAAUGCCAUGUGAUUACACCAACCUCUAUAGUCUCUAGUAGUUUUCUUAAUUUGGUUGGAGUUGAUUUAUCUGUAACCAUGUUAAAGCUGGCUAAAGCCGAACUGAUGCAGUGUGAAGUUGGGAAUGUAUGAAUGCGACUCUCUUCCGUACCUCCCUCUCCUCUCUGAUUUCUGAAACCUGUUUGUAAUACGAGUUAACAUAUCUUGCCGUUUAAUGUUUCAAUGGAUUGAUUGCUAUGUAGAUUAAUUGUUUUCAUUUGGUCCUUGCUUUGUGACUCUUAUAAAAUGAUAGGGAAACUCCUUUUAGUCUGGCCUGUUUAAA